AGAGUUUGAUCAUGGCUCAGAACGAACGCUGGCGGCAUGCCUAACACAUGCAAGUCGAACGAGACCUUCGGGUCUAGUGGCGCACGGGUGCGUAACGCGUGGGAAUCUGCCCUUGGGUUCGGAAUAACAGUUGGAAACGACUGCUAAUACCGGAUGAUGACGUAAGUCCAAAGAUUUAUCGCCCAAGGAUGAGCCCGCGUAGGAUUAGCUAGUUGGUGAGGUAAAGGCUCACCCAAGGCGACGAUCCUUAGCUGGUCUGAGAGGAUGAUCAGCCACACUGGGACUGAGACACGGCCCAGACUCCUACGGGAGGCAGCAGUGGGGAAUAUUGGACAAUGGGCGAAAGCCUGAUCCAGCAAUGCCGCGUGAGUGAUGAAGGCCUUAGGGUUGUAAAGCUCUUUUACCCGGGAUGAUAAUGACAGUACCGGGAGAAUAAGCUCCGGCUAACUCCGUG
rnacentral:rRNA from 1 species